UGUGUGUGUGUGUGUGUGUGUGUGUGUGUGUGUGUGUAAGACUGUGUGUGUGUGUGUGUGUGUGUGUGUGUCCUUGGUGUUGCAACAUAGCGCACAACUCUAAAAUUAGACCCUGAAGACUGAUAUUAGCUCACUUCCCACGUAUGGAAGCAAACUCAGACACACACACACACACACACACACACACACACACACU
rnacentral:miRNA from 14 species